UACGGAGGGUGCAAGCGUUGUCCGGAUUUACUGGGUUUAAAGGGUGCGUAGGCGGGCAUGUAAGUCAGUGGUGAAAUACCGGAGCUUAACUUCGGAACUGCCAUUGAUACUAUAUGUCUUGAAUAUUGUGGAGGUAAGCGGAAUAUGUCAUGUAGCGGUGAAAUGCAUAGAUAUGACAUAGAACACCGAUUGCGGAGGCAGCUUGCUACACAAAUAUUGACGCUGAGGCACGAAAGCGUGGGGAUCAAACAGG
rnacentral:rRNA from 1 species